rnacentral:tRNA from 1 species
GCAUCAGUGGUCUAACGGUUAUGAUCCGGUCUUCCCAUGUUACAAAACGCAUACUCUUCUAUGGCCGGGAAAGGGGUUCGACUCCCCUCUGAUGCA